rnacentral:rRNA from 1 species
UACGGAGGGUGCAAGCGUGGUUCGGAAUUAUUGGGCGUAAAGCGCGCGCAGGCGGCCUGGAAAGUCUAUGGGUGAAAUGCCGGGGCUCAACCCCGCGCAUGCCCAGGAUACUGCCAGGCUGGAGACACGUAGAGGCAGGCGGAAUUUCGGGUGUAGCGGUGGAAUGCGUAGAUAUCCGAAAGAACACCGGAGGCGAAGGCGGCUUGCUGGACCUGGUCUGACGCUGAGGCGCGAAAGCGUGGGGAGCGAACAGG